UUAAGUUAUUAAGGGCGCACGGUGGAUGCCUUGGCACUAGAAGCCGAUGAAGGACGUUACUAACGACGAUAUGCUUUGGGGAGCUGUAAGUAAGCUUUGAUCCAGAGAUUUCCGAAUGGGGAAACCCAGCAUGAGUUAUGUCAUGUUAUCGAUAUGUGAAUACAUAGCAUAUCAGAAGGCACACCCGGAGAACUGAAACAUCUUAGUACCCGGAGGAAGAGAAAGAAAAUUCGAUUCCCUUAGUAGCGGCGAGCGAAACGGGAAGAGCCCAAACCAACAAGCUUGCUUGUUGGGGUUGUAGGACACUCUAUACGGAGUUACAAAGGACGACAUUAGACGAAUCAUCUGGAAAGAUGAAUCAAAGAAGGUAAUAAUCCUGUAGUCGAAAAUGUUGUCUCUCUUGAGUGGAUCCUGAGUACGACGGAGCACGUGAAAUUCCGUCGGAAUCUGGGAGGACCAUCUCCUAAGGCUAAAUACUCUCUAGUGACCGAUAGUGAACCAGUACCGUGAGGGAAAGGUGAAAAGCACCCCGGAAGGGGAGUGAAAUAGAACCUGAAACCGUGUGCUUACAAGUAGUCAGAGCCCGUUAAUGGGUGAUGGCGUGCCUUUUGUAGAAUGAACCGGCGAGUUACGAUUUGAUGCAAGGUUAAGCAGUAAAUGUGGAGCCGUAGCGAAAGCGAGUCUGAAUAGGGCGUUUAGUAUUUGGUCGUAGACCCGAAACCAGGUGAUCUACCCUUGGUCAGGUUGAAGUUCAGGUAACACUGAAUGGAGGACCGAACCGACUUACGUUGAAAAGUGAGCGGAUGAACUGAGGGUAGCGGAGAAAUUCCAAUCGAACCUGGAGAUAGCUGGUUCUCUCCGAAAUAGCUUUAGGGCUAGCCUCAAGUGAUGAUUAUUGGAGGUAGAGCACUGUUUGGACGAGGGGCCCCUCUCGGGUUACCGAAUUCAGACAAACUCCGAAUGCCAAUUAAUUUAACUUGGGAGUCAGAACAUGGGUGAUAAGGUCCGUGUUCGAAAGGGAAACAGCCCAGACCACCAGCUAAGGUCCCAAAAUAUAUGUUAAGUGGAAAAGGAUGUGGCGUUGCCCAGACAACUAGGAUGUUGGCUUAGAAGCAGCCAUCAUUUAAAGAGUGCGUAAUAGCUCACUAGUCGAGUGACACUGCGCCGAAAAUGUACCGGGGCUAAACAUAUUACCGAAGCUGUGGAUUGUCCUUUGGACAAUGGUAGGAGAGCGUUCUAAGGGCGUUGAAGCAUGAUCGUAAGGACAUGUGGAGCGCUUAGAAGUGAGAAUGCCGGUGUGAGUAGCGAAAGACGGGUGAGAAUCCCGUCCACCGAUUGACUAAGGUUUCCAGAGGAAGGCUCGUCCGCUCUGGGUUAGUCGGGUCCUAAGCUGAGGCCGACAGGCGUAGGCGAUGGAUAACAGGUUGAUAUUCCUGUACCACCUAUAAUCGUUUUAAUCGAUGGGGGGACGCAGUAGGAUAGGCGAAGCGUGCGAUUGGAUUGCACGUCUAAGCAGUAAGGCUGAGUAUUAGGCAAAUCCGGUACUCGUUAAGGCUGAGCUGUGAUGGGGAGAAGACAUUGUGUCUUCGAGUCGUUGAUUUCACACUGCCGAGAAAAGCCUCUAGAUAGAAAAUAGGUGCCCGUACCGCAAACCGACACAGGUAGUCAAGAUGAGAAUUCUAAGGUGAGCGAGCGAACUCUCGUUAAGGAACUCGGCAAAAUGACCCCGUAACUUCGGGAGAAGGGGUGCUCUUUAGGGUUAACGCCCAGAAGAGCCGCAGUGAAUAGGCCCAAGCGACUGUUUAUCAAAAACACAGGUCUCUGCUAAACCGUAAGGUGAUGUAUAGGGGCUGACGCCUGCCCGGUGCUGGAAGGUUAAGAGGAGUGGUUAGCUUCUGCGAAGCUACGAAUCGAAGCCCCAGUAAACGGCGGCCGUAACUAUAACGGUCCUAAGGUAGCGAAAUUCCUUGUCGGGUAAGUUCCGACCCGCACGAAAGGCGUAACGAUUUGGGCACUGUCUCAACGAGAGACUCGGUGAAAUCAUAGUACCUGUGAAGAUGCAGGUUACCCGCGACAGGACGGAAAGACCCCGUGGAGCUUUACUGUAGCCUGAUAUUGAAAUUCGGCACAGCUUGUACAGGAUAGGUAGGAGCCUUUGAAACGUG
rnacentral:rRNA from 1 species